rnacentral:lncRNA from 1 species
UGGAUUUGCCAUCAUCCGACCCCCAGGACAUCAUGCUGAGGAGUCCACAGCCAUGGGAUUCUGCUUCUUCAACUCCGUAGCCAUCACAGCUAAACUCCUGCAGCAGAAGCUGAGCGUGGGCAAGGUCCUCAUCGUGGACUGGGACAUUCACCACGGCAAUGGCACCCAGCAAGCAUUUUACGAUGACCCCUCCGUGCUCUACAUCUCUUUGCAUCGCUACGACAAUGGGAACUUCUUUCCAGGAGCCUGCCCUGUGACACCCAGGCCCCCCUCCCUCUGGGCUUCAUCAUUGUGAUUUUGUUUAUUUUUUCUAUUAAAAACGAAAAGUCACACAUUC